rnacentral:rRNA from 1 species
GGGAUAACACUGGGAAACAGGUGCUAAUACCGUAUAACACUAUUUCCCGCAUGGAAGAAAGUUGAAAGGCGCUUUUGCGUCACUGAUGGAUGGACCCGCGGUGCAUUAGCUAGUUGGUGAGGUAACGGCUCACCAAGGCCACGAUGCAUAGCCGACCUGAGAGGGUGAUCGGCCACACUGGGACAGAGACACGGCCCAGACUCCUACGGGAGGCAGCAGUAGGGAAUCUUCGGCAGUGGACGAAAGUCUGACCGAGCAACGCCGCGUGAGUGAAGAAGGUUUUCGGAUCGUAAAACUCUGUUGUUAGAGAAGAACAAGGAUGAGAGUAAAAUGUUCAUCCCUUGACGGUAUCUAACCAGAAAGCCACGGCUAACUACGUGCCAGCAGCCGCGGUAAUACGUAGGUGGCAAGCGUUGUCCGGAUUUAUUGGGCGUAAAGCGAGCGCAGGCGGUUUCUUAAGUCUGAUGUGAAAGCCCCCGGCUCAACCGGGGAGGGUCAUUGGAAACUGGGAGACUUGAGUGCAGAAGAGGAGAGUGGAAUUCCAUGUGUAGCGGUGAAAUGCGUAGAUAUAUGGAGGAACACCAGUGGCGAAGGCAGCUCUCUGGUCUGUAACUGACGCUGAGGCUCGAAAGCGUGGGGAGCGAACAGGAUUAGAUACCCUGGUAGUCCACGCCGUAAACGAUGAGAAAUAAGUGUUGGAGGGUUUCCGCCCUUCAGUGCUGCAGCA